GAUGGCAGAAGGAGGCAAUAAAUUCUGUCCGAGAACCUCUCCUGGUAGAUGUUUAAAGAGAUUAUAUGAGUAAAUCAACUGUCCCAAUCCCCCAAUGUGAUAUGGACCAUCCGGUUUGAAUUUGAAUUUUCCCCGUCUUUCUUCUAGAGAACUGAUAGCAUAUAUUCUCCUUUCCAUAUAUGAAGUGCAUAAACCCUAGGACAUGGCUUUAUCAAAUUUGUAGUAGCUGCGACCAAGAAGAUGAGUCUUCACAGAAUAAUAGCCUCUGACCUUAUGGAGCACGGGCAGAAACACUAACCAGCCAGUAAUUUCCUGAUUUUCCUUUUGAGGUCAAAGAGAAAAAGAUAAUGAUUACUGCAAGUCUACAAAUAAAGCUCACUACGUUCUGCAAAUUAUACAGAUCCAGUGUUUUUGACCCUUUGAAGGCAGAAAAAGAAAAUACUCCAAGAGAAAGCUUUACAAACUGGAGCUUGCCUUCCCGUUCAUCGUGGCUUUGUCCUUUUGGAAAGUCUGCAUGACCUCUCCUCCGAGUGUUAAAUAAAACAAGGGUGCAAGGACUGAUGAUUCGAUUUGACUUCUGGCAGACUGGCAGCUGGAGGUGUUCACCUCAGGCAGGAGAAGCUCUAACUAUUUCAAGAAUAAUUGAUUAAGAAAUACAUAAUAGCC